CUGCCGUCCAGCCAACUCACGCUCUUGGAUUGGCUUAGACAUUCCACUUUGAGUUGACUCCUCGGGAGGUGGAUGGCUCGAUGUCCCAGCUGAAUCCCUCACACACACUCGAGGCAAAAGCGUAACACUAGCAGGAGCACCCUCAGAGAAAAUAGGCUGAACACCCAAAACUGCCUCAAGCCCAGAAUCAACGCGACGGAAGAGGCUGGAUAAGAGGACACAGAAGUGCGGGAGUGAGAGUGAAUGGAGAACUUUCCUGAAGAUUGCUGCUAUUCUCCGGCUUAUUGCCUCCUGUCCUUCAUGGUUUCACAUGACGUCCCGGGUGUCAGGAUCGCCUUCAAGCUGGAAAUGAGGAAAGUGAUGAUACCAGUGGGCUGGGAUCAGAAAAGAGGAAAUUGGCUAAGCGACUACUUUCUGGGCAGACUCCUGUAACUGGCUAAUUAGCAAAGCUGGAAACGUCCCAUUACUCCCUUAACUGAGAUCUGUUUGUUGCAUUUGUAUGUGGAGAAGAAGCAUAAUUAUAUGCACACAUCACAUGCAGGUGCAGGACUAUUGUAAAGAGCAACUGGUGAGAGGAUCAACACCUGCACUCGGACGCCAUGCUACAAAUUUAAAUAGGCAUUUAAAUAGACUUUUUGAUAUCAGGUCUGCAUUCGUCUGUGUGUUUUGACGUUAAAAGAUUUAGUGAAAUGAGAAAAUGUAAAUAACUUGGGGGUGAAAUUCAUCUGCAGUUUUAUUUGCAUAUGUAUGCUUUUUUGUAAAGUCUGUUCUUUCUAAAAAAUGAAACCAGUGAAUGAACAGUAUCCCUCGAAGAGCCAUGUGAGCUCCAGAUUUGGACACAACCUUGAUGUUGUGAUCCUGAAGCUACCGGAGUUUAUCCUCUCGGCAUCUGGCUGCGAGGUAGAGGGGACCGAGAGAAAGCAUCUGUGGGGUCUCGUCCUCACCCCCCUUCCCAGAGACGAGCCGAACAACACUUGGCGCUGGCCCAGUGAUGAGGUGGCUGGAGUAUUAACUCCAACUUCCCCAAAGUGGAAGGUUAAAACCCUUUCACAGUGUCCUCCCUCCCUCC
ensembl:lncRNA